UACGAAGGGGGCUAGCGUUGCUCGGAAUCACUGGGCGUAAAGGGUGCGUAGGCGGGUCUUUUAAGUCAGGGGUGAAAUCCUGGAGCUCAACUCCAGAACUGCCUUUGAUACUGGAGGAUCUUGAGUAUGGGAGAGGUGAGUGGAACUGCGAGUGUAGAGGUGAAAUUCGUAGAUAUUCGCAAGAACACCAGUGGCGAAGGCGGCUCACUGGCCCAUUACUGACGCUGAGGCACGAAAGCGUGGGGAGCAAACAGGG
rnacentral:rRNA from 1 species